UAAAGUGCUUAUAGUGCAGGUAGUGUUCAGUUAUCUACUGCAUUAUGAGCACUUAAAGU
rnacentral:pre_miRNA from 1 species